UGACGAGGAGUGCAAGUGGAAUAUGCCACACCUCAACACUGCUCACCUCCGAGCAGGAACCAUUCAAAGCACUUGCUCUACUUAAACCUAACUCUCGCCACCUUCUCUGCUACACCUCUUCUCUCCCACCGCCCCCUUCAAUAUCUUCAUAAUUUCUCUCUCAUUUGCAUUUUUCAACUCUAAAAAGCAAACAAGUCUCUCCCUUUAUUCCUCUGUAGCUUUUUUUUUUGUUUCUAUGGCAGGAACUGGGGUGGUUGCAGUUUAUGGGAACGGGGCAAUAACUGAAACCCACAAAUCCCCUUUCUCAGUGAAAGUCGGGCUAGCGCAAAUGCUCCGAGGUGGGGUCAUAAUGGACGUGGUCACCCCUGAACAAGCUCGCAUCGCUGAAGAAGCCGGAGCCUGCGCCGUCAUGGCUCUCGAACGAGUCCCCGCUGAUAUCCGAGCCCAAGGUGGCGUGGCUCGAAUGAGUGACCCACAACUCAUAAAAGAAAUUAAGCAAGCCGUUACUAUCCCCGUCAUGGCUAAGGCCCGUAUUGGUCAUUUCGUUGAGGCCCAAAUCCUUGAAGCCAUUGGCAUCGAUUAUGUUGACGAGAGCGAAGUUCUAACCCCUGCCGACGAAGAAAACCAUAUUAACAAACAUAAUUUUCGGAUUCCUUUCGUUUGCGGGUGUCGGAAUUUGGGGGAAGCGCUUCGGAGGAUCCGAGAAGGAGCUGCUAUGAUUCGAACCAAAGGUGAAGCUGGGACCGGGAACAUUAUUGAAGCCGUUAGGCACGUGAGGUCCGUGAUGGGAGAUAUUAGGGUUCUUAGGAACAUGGAUGAUGAUGAGGUUUUCAGCUUCGCUAAGAAAAUUCAGUCUCCCUACGAUUUGGUUAUGCAGACGAAGCAGCUGGGGAGGUUGCCAGUGGUGCACUUUGCCGCGGGAGGAGUGGCGACGCCGGCGGAUGCGGCGUUGAUGAUGCAGUUGGGCUGUGAUGGAGUGUUUGUGGGGUCUGGGGUUUUUAAGAGUGGUGACCCGGCUAGACGUGCGCGGGCGAUUGUUCAGGCCGUCACUCAUUAUAGUGAUCCGGACGUGCUUGCUGAUGUUAGCUGUGGGCUUGGUGAGGCUAUGGUUGGUCUUAAUUUGAAUGAUAAGAAGGUUGAAAGGUUCGCGGCUCGGUCUGAUUAGUAUGUUUCAAGUUUUUCGGGCUAAGUGGAGCAGGCAGUAGUGACAAGGUUGUAGUAAUUGACGGUUUCAGUUUCGGAUUCUUCGAGUGGAAUCAUUUGGUCUCUUUUUCCAGAUUAUCCGUGUCAAGUCUAGUCAUUUCAUACGGUGGGGUGUACUUUUAUGUCUAAAAUAGGUUUUAAGCCUGCGGAUGCCGGAGCAAAAUAAAAAAUGUGUUAGUUUAAAUAUUGAAUGAUGUAGAAUAGAAAAAAAAGAUGCAAAAAGAAAUAGCAGAAACAAGAAAGAUUUAAAGGUUUAAUUAGCUAUUAUAAUAUAAUCACCAAAGCUUUAAGGCUUUCAUAUGGGGCAUGUUACCUCAAAUUGUCAAAGUGUUUCCGCUAUGAUUUAAAUACUACCAGCAGUGAUCUUGGCAUAUAUAAAGACGAUCAAUUCAUAAAUAAUUUCGAAGAAAAAACAAUCAAGAAAUCA